UAUAUAUAUAUAUAUCCAUAUAAGUGAAUGGGAAAAUGAGAUAAUCCUUGUAGAAGAAAAAAUAUGCUUUUCCUUUGCACAAAAAAAGUAUGUACGUAGAAAGAAGUUGUCUUUUGCAAGAAAACUAUCACAUCGUCUUUAACCAAUAGCUCCUCCCUCUCUCUCUCUCUCUCUCUCUCUCUCUCUCUCUCUCACUCUCACACACACACAUUUUCCCAAGAAGUCCUUUUCCAUCUGUCACCAAAAGGAAAUGUAAAAGAAAGGAUUUGCUGGUCCUUCUAUAAAAUCAAAAGAGUUCAGGAUAUCUCCAGAGAUGAUCUUACAUAAUUUGGGACUAGAUUCAAAUCCUUAGCUUAUUAACUCUAGAUGCCAUUUAAGGAACAAAUGCACUUUUUCAAACUGUUUACUUUUUUUGUAUUAAGUGUAUCAAGCAACAUGAUGAAUAAAAAGUGAGAUUAAAAAAGAGUUUGAAAUCCUAUAUAAAGGGGACUCCUCCUUCAUUUGAGGACUUUUGAAAUCUUCUACUUAAUCUUCUUCUCCUUAUUCCUCUCCCUUAUUCUAGCCAUAUUUAUUGGAUAACCUUCGCAUCUCAGCCACCUUAGAGAGGAAAAGCAUAAAAAGUAGAGAGAUAAGCUUAUUGAGUCAAGUGUGAGUUAAAAUUUGUACUCCUGAAUUUUAACCUUGUGGCGGUAAAGCCACUUUUGUUGAUUGAAGUAGAAAGGUAGCAAGAUAGAGGACAAAUUCAAUUUGAACUCUACUAACUUAGGAGAAUUUAAUUUCAAUUUGAAUUCCACCGAAAGAGAAUUCAAAUUCAAGUUGAACUCUACCUAAGAAGAAUUCAAUUUCAAUUUAAACUUUACUACCCAUAUGCAUCUAUAAAUAUGCACAUCUUCUCAUUUGAAAAUCAUCCCAUUUUGAAGAAGGGCUCAAUUCAUUCUCAUGUAGAAGCCAAAUCUAUUAUUGGUGUGAGAAACAGAGAGAAAGAAGGAGAAUAUUAAAGAGAGAGAGUUAGAAAUGGUCUUUCCUAAAUAUUUGUGUCUUUCCUUUGUAUUACAUUUCUUGGCAUGAGAAGCAAAGAGAGAGUAGGAGAAUAUUAGAGAGAUAAUGAAGAAAAGGUUUCUCCUAAAUAUUCGUGUCUUUCCUUUGUGAGAAAUAGAAAGGGAGAAAAUAAGAGUAUUAGAGAGAGAAAAAAAGUCUUUCCUAAAUAUGUGUUUCUUUCCUUUGUAAAGAGAGUGUGUUUUCUCCUAUUAUAAGAUAUAGGGUAUUGUCAAUUAUGCUCUUCUUAUUUUAAAGAGAAAUUAUUACUUAUAUUCUUUUGCUAUAAUGAAAUCUUUCUACAAUUGCCAAUUAUUUGUGUGUAUUUUUAUUUGAGUAUUUUACAUGCAAAUUUCUCAUUUUUAUAAUUUCGACUUUAGCUGUAAUUGUGUGCCAUACAACACAAUUUCCUAACAGUGGUAUCAGAGCCUGGUUCGUAGGUAUCUGCAACAAUGGCGGUGAAGUACGAAAAAAAAUAAAAUUCAAUGGGAAUAAUUUCUCAUUAUGGUAAAUGAGAAUGAAAGCAGUUUUAAGAAAAGAUAACUGCUUGGUGGCAAUUGAAGAAAGGCCCACGGAGAUCGUCGAUGACAACAAGUGGAAUGAGAUGGAUGGCAAUGCUAUUGCUAAUCUGCACCUAGCACUAGCCGAUGAAGUUUUGUUAAACGUGGCAGAAAAAAAGAAGGCAAAAGAAAUAUGGGACACUCUUAAAGAAAAAUCUAUUGUCUUUGGAACAAUUAGAUAAUAAUGGUUGCAAAACCCAUAUUCAAGAUGGGAUCAUGAAUAUAAUUAAAGGCGUGCUUGUGGUGAUGAAAGCGGAAAAGAUAGCUGUAAAUCUGUACAUGUUUAAAGGAGAAACAUAACAAGAAGGAGAAGCAUCUAUAGCGUCGGCAAGCUCUGCAAAAGAAGCAACGAUAAUGUGGCACCGUAACCUUGGCCAUACGUUGGAAUGAGGUCUGAAGAUUCUUACUGAACAAAAGCUUCUUUCAAGGCUCAAAAAUUUUUCAUUACCAUUUUGUGAGCAUUGUGUUAUUAGUAAGCAGCACAGAUUAAAAUUUAGCAGUUCUAAUGCUAGAAGCAAAGCUAUCUUAGAGUUGAUCUACUCUUUUUUUGGCAAGCACCAGUUCUGUCCCUAGGAGGUGCAAGAUAUUUUGUAUCUUUUAUUGAUUACUCCAGGAGAUGUUGGGUGUAUCCAAUCAAAAGGAAAGCAGAUGUAUUUUCAGUUUUCAAAAUAUUCAAAGCGAGGUUGAAACUUGUAUCUGAAAAGAAGAUCAAGUGUUUGAGAAUGGAAAAUGGAGGAGAAUAUACUGGUGAAGAAUUUGAUAGCCUUUGUGUAACAGUCCAGACCACCCGCAUGCGAUAUUGUCCGCUUUGGCAAGGGCCCGCACGGUUUUGCUCUUCCUGACCUCAAUACAACGGUGGGUCACAGGAAAAGGCCUCGCAAGGGAAAGGUAUCCACACCCACUUAUAUGGUAUGCUUCGUUCCCCUUUCCAACCGAUGUGGGAUGUUACACUCUGUCAAUAAGAAGGUAUCAAGAGGCAGUUGUGGUGUACACUCCACAGUAAAAUGGAGUAAUAGAGCAGAUGAAUAGAAUCUUGUUGGAACAGACAAGAGUGAUGUUGAGAACGGCAGGGAUGGCCAAGUCAUUUUGGAUAGAAGCAGUUAAAACCGCCUGCUAUGUGAUCAAUCAGUCACCAUCGAUCACAAUUGUUCUGAAAACACAGAUGGAGAUGUGGAUUGAUAAGCCCGCUGAUUAUUCUCGCUUACAUAUCUUUGGAAGUCUUGUUUUUGUUAAUAAGUGUUUUAUAAAAUAAGUAAUAAAAUGUUUCACUAUGUACAAUGAAAAGUACUUCUAAAUUUAUUUUUAAUAUUUUAAUUAAUGUAUUUAAUAUCUAUAUUUUUAAAUCUUGACAACAUGUAUUUGAAGAAGUACCAUCUUUUAAAAGCAACUUUAGUGCCUUUUUUUUUUUUCUUUUUGUUUUUUUUGUUUUUGUUGUUCAAAAAAAUACUUUUUAGUUUUUUGUCAAACAUAAUCACAAAUAUAUAUUGUUUUUGGUUCUUGAAAGCACUUAUUAAAGCUUCAAAAACAUAUCCAAUUAUGCUCUAAAGUAAUAUUUUCAUUGAUCUUGAAAAGAAAAAAAACUGAAUUAUUUACAUGGGACUAAAAAUUAAUAUAAAAGAAAAAGGAAGAGAAGAAAUUCCUAGUUUUCUAUGUUAUAUUUUCAGUUUACAUAUUCUUAACCGUACACCGUAACAUCCAAAAUAAGUUGUUUUUUUUUUUAAUUUUUUUUUAAAUUUUCAUUAUUUAACUUGUUAUAAUCUACUGUACAAAAAAAGAAAAAAAAAAGAAAAAAAAGAAAAAAAGGAACCAGGUUAUAAACUCUCAAAAUGACCUUAGCCGAAGCAAUUAAAUGAGUUAGUUUUAUUACAUACGAUGAACAUUCUCAUGUCAUGUCUGCAUCAAUGCUUAAUUUGGUAUUUUCCAUAUAAUGUCUCUGUUUUAUUUAUUUAUUUAUUAGUCUUUCCCUGAUCUCUUUAACCCUUGGUAGAAGGAAAGUGGAAAAUGCAAAUCAAAUAAACAACAUAACUAGAUUAUAUACGACCCAAAUCCUAAACUGCUACAUAUACUUCUUGACUUUUAAGAGCAAUCCAAUACUUAUGUGAAACAGCUUUUACUGGAUGUUACUUUAAACCAAAUAUUAACUUUCUUCAAAUUUUGACCUCUUCUCUUAAUGUUUUGCAGAUUUUAGUCGCAUGACAUCCGUACAUAAUGCUACUGAUUCACCAUUAGAAGACAUAUACGACUAUAUACAAGUAGGAGGAGGCACAGCAGGGUGCCCAUUGGCCUAUCAGAAAAAUAUCUGUUUCUUGUUCUUGAAAGAGGCAGUGCCCCUGCUCAUAUUAUUUGAAAGAGACGUGGAAAAAAAUCAUCUUCUCUUCCAAUGCACCACGUGACUAGUGUAAUAUUAUUUGAUGAAAUCUAUGUCUCUGUGUUUUCCUCUGUUCUGCCAUUAACAAACUCAAACGCAGGUUUUUCUGCAACUGGAGUCAUAUAUAUUGAUACGAAAGGCAGGACUCAUCGGGCAUUUAUAAGACAUGUGAGGUGGUACUGAGUGCGGGGCCAAUUGGGAGCCUCCAACUUCUUCUUCUCCGCGGAGUUGGACCAGUUCAUCAUCUUUCUUCACUGCAUAUACCGAUUGUUUACUCAAAUCCUGACGUGGGAAAUUUUAUGGCCGACAAUCCUCGUAAUAACAUCAACAUUGUAGGUCCAUUUGCAUUGGACUCAUCAACUGCACAGGUGGUAGGAAGUACCAGUGACUUCAAUAUUGCAGAGGCUAUGUCCCUCAAUUUGCCAUUUUCUUUUCCUCAAGCUUUUGGCCUGUUUCCAAACUCCAAACUCCACUUCUCCUUUACAAUUCAGUUUGGAAAACAUUGUUCAGAAGUUCUCCGGAUCUAAGUCCACCGCUUCCCUCCAGUUGCUGUCAUCCGCCAAAGUGAAGCUUUACGGUUCAACUUCUUUUCUGAAGCAGUGGACCUUGCUCGUUGUGUUAAAGGAACGAGGGAGGUUGGUGAUUUGCUGAAGAAAAAGUUCCUGGAACAACUAAAGUUUCAAGUUCCUGGAACGACUAAAGUUUCAGGAUUUGGAGGGUACAGAAGAUUUCAAGUUUUUAUGACCACCUUUGCCGAAGAAUCAGUCUGAUGAUGCAUCAAUGGUGACGUUUUGUCGAAGCACGAUGCCGAACUUCUGGCAUUUCCAUGGUGGAUGCUUGGUGUGAAAAGUGGUAGAUGGUGAUUAUCUGGUGAAGGGUACAAAUUCACUUCGUGUGGUAGAUGGAUCCACAGUCAAUGCCUCACCGGGGACCAAUCCGCAGGCCACUGUUAUGAUGAUAGGCCGGUACGUUGGGCUUAAGAUUCUGCAGGAAAGAAAAGCAGCAAAGUAUGUGGAUACGACAUUGUGAUCAAUAUCAUGUUUUCAAUGAAUUCGAAAUAGUAAAAUAAAUCGAGGAAUAAUAAAUUUGUUAAACGACCGUUUCCAUGUGUGAUGAGUUUGUUUUGUAAUUCUUUGUUGUGUCUACAUUUAAUUAAUCUAUAAGACUAGGUUGUGAUAUGCUUCACUUGCUGCAA